CGGGUGAGUAACACGUGGAUAACCUACCUAUAAGACUGGGAUAACUUCGGGAAACCGUAGCUAAUACCGGAUAAUAUUUUGAACCGCAUGGUUCAAAAGUGAAAGACGGUCUUGCUGUCACUUAUAGAUGGAUCCGCGCUGCAUUAGCUAGUUGGUAAGGUAACGGCUUACCAAGUCAACGAUGCAUAGCCGACCUGAGAGGGUGAUCGGCCACACUGGAACUGAGACACGGUCCAG
rnacentral:rRNA from 1 species